CACAAGACAAGAAGCUGCUGGACGCCUGGUCCCACUCACACAAACAAGAAGCUGCUGACGCUCUGGGUCACUUCACAAAAGACAAGAAGCUGCUGGACGCCUGGGUCACCUCCACACACAGACAAGAAGUGCUGGACGCCUGGUUCACCACCUCCACACAAGACAAGAAGCUGCUGGACGCCUGGGUCACCUCCACACAAGACAAGAAGCUGCUGGACGCCUGGGUCCCCUCCACACAAGACAAGAAGCUGCUGGACGUUGGUCACCUCCACACAGAAAAGAACUGCUGGACGCCUGGGUCACCUCCACACAAGACAAGAAGCUGCUGGAAGCGCCUGGGUCACCUCCACACAAGACAAGAAGCUGCUGGACGCCUGGGUCACCUCCACACAAGACAAGAAGCUGCUGGACGCCUGGGUCACCCCACACAGACAAGAAGCUGCUGACGCCUGGGUCACAUCCACACAAGACAAGAAGCUGCUGGACGCCUGGUUCACCUCCACACAAGACAAGAAGCUGCUGGACGCCUGGGUCACCUCCACACAAGACAAGAAGAAGAAAUUAGCACAGAGGAGGUCGUCAUUAUUGGAACAUCUGACAAAGAACAAGUAGUGCUGCCUGCCACUGUCUGCCACUACUUCUAGGCUUAUCUUCCAUCUAUAUUUGAAUUCUACAUCCCUAAUUGAUAGUAGGACACAUUGGAAUCCUUAAUACCAGUCAGGAGGCUGUUCUGUCCUCUUCUCAGUAUCUGAAAGUGACCUACGAAAGUAAAUGGGGGCCCCCCAGUCGGUAAUUUGAGCAUGAUUACUACAAGGUUAGAUAGCUGGCUAGAUUAUUUUACCAAUAUAAAAUAUUAAUCCAAUUCUUUUAGAUUUGUGGGUAAAGUAGUGAACGAGUGUACAGUUCAGGASGAAGGUGAUAAAAUUGGMACACACCCACAGACUAGGUCAGGCCAUGAUGUGGCCUUGUUCAGAAGGAAGGUGAUAUAAUUGGGACAUACCCACAGACUAGGACAGGCCAUGAUGUGGCCUUGUUCAGGAGGAAGGUGAUAUAAUUGGGACACACCCACAGACUAGGUCAGGCCAUGAUGUGGCCUUGUUCAGGAGGAAGGUGAUAUAAUUGGGACACACCCACAGACCAGGUCAGGCCAUGAUGUGGCCUUGUUCAGGAGGAAGGUGAUAUAAUUGGGACAUACCCACAGACCAGGUCAGGCCAUGAUGUGGCCUUGUUAAAUAACAAUAAAAUAGCUAUACUGCAGCAGCUUUGCAUCUAUUGUCUCUUAUUAUUUAAUGAAUUACAUGAAUUAAUGAUAAUUCACCACUAUCACUACAGAAAAUAAGAUUAUUGUUGUCAGGUUUGACAACAGCUAAAAUGAUGUUGGAACUAAGAUGGCACCACCUCACCUCAUUGGAUCAGCACUUUCUACACUGCUAGGAUCCAUGGGUCCACGACCUCACCUCAUUGGAUCAGCACUUUCUACACUGCUAGGAUCCAUGGGUCCACCACCACACCUCAUUGGAUCAGCACUUUAUACACUGCUAGGAUCCAUGGGUCCACCACCUCACCUCAUUGGAUCAGCACUUUCUACACUGUUAGGAUCCAUGGGUCUACCACCACACCUCAUUGGAUCAGCACUUUAUACACUGUUAGGAUCCAUGGGUCUACCACCACACCUCAUUGGAUCAGCAC
ensembl:lncRNA